GCCUGCGUAGCUCAACAGGACCAGAGCGCCGGCCUUCUAAGCCGUGGCGUGCGGGUUCGAAUCCCGCCGCAGGCGCCC
rnacentral:tRNA from 1 species